rnacentral:snoRNA from 1 species
CCCAGCUGUAGGCAACUGCCUAGGUUGCCUUGUACCUAGGCAAAUGUUGUGCUGCUGGGAGAAAAGUAGACAAGACUGGUGGGUAUUCUCGGACUAGUUAAUGCCAAAUU